GCGGCCAGCCGCAACGAUCGUCCUGCCGCUUCCCGAAAAUCCUCCAAAUCCCCAAAUCCUCCGAGGAAAAGCGACGGAGCAAAUGCGGCGUCCAGUUUCUCUCCUCCCCUCGAUUCCCCGACAAGCGACGCAUCAAACCUAUCCCUCGCCGCCGCCUCCUCGUCUCCGCCGAGAGAUUUAGGCUCGGCUCCACUCGAUUUGGUGCGCGCGCACGAGCCCGUGGUUCCUCUUCCAAGCGCCGGCGGUGGCGGUGGCGGUUGCGGAGCCGAGAGCCGCGGUGCGUGAGGCUGACGCCGCCGUGAAGCAACCAACCAUGCCGUCGGACAGGGGAUGCGUGCGAUGCUGGAGAUGAAGUCCCACAGUGUUUGCUCAAUGUAAAUAUUUACAUAAUUGGAAUUUGAAGUCUUUUCAUGUUUUAAGAAAAGUUUGCAUUCCUUCAUUUGAAGCUUUGAGAGGUAAUAUUUUUACCUCAUGAUCCUUCAUGCUUACAGAGUUACAGUGCAUAGUAUUAUGUGGGUAGAAUGGUUAAUAUGUUGUGAUGGCACUCAGCUAUACUGAUCGCUUGGGGGAAUUGGUAAAGGCAGGCGAUUUGCCAACAAUUAGGGCACCAUUUAUACUAAUGUUAGUCAUGCUGGUACUGGAUUAGCUAACAUGCAACGAUCCUUCCUAAAUAGUAUACAUGGAGCUGUUCUGCAGUUUUGUACUGUAUUUUUUUUCCUGCUCCUUUCAGUUCUUUCCUUGAAAAACCCAAGCUGUGUCGGCAGGAUAUUUGAUAAAUCAAUGCUACUACAACACAGACCAUUAGGGCAUUAGCUGAUAUGCUUCUAAUGACCCAGUAUAGGUUAAUCUUUUAGUACAUUUUUUUAUAUCAUGCGUGCGUUUAGUUUUAGUUCCUUUAUGUUGUUAUCUUGGGAAUUAUACUGGCACAAUUAGUUAGUCACCAAUGCAAAUUAGAAUCAUACCUUUUCUUUUUGAAUUUAUAGAUUGCCACGAACUUUUCUCGUGGUUUUAGGAAAUUCUAUCAAUCUGUACUGCCAUAGUAUCUGAGAAUUCUCUCUUAUCCUUGAUCACGACAUUUUGGAUGGAUAUAAAAUGCUCUAAAUACCUAGAACCUAGAAAUAAUAUAUUGAUUUUUGUGGUUGCCUGGUUAGGUUUGUCAUCGAGUAGACAAGCACUGUGUAGAAUUCUUGCUUUUCUCCCAUUUAUGGAAUUCUCCAAACAAAACUUUGAGGCAUAUGAGGUGGCUAACUCGAAUCAUGAUUGUCAAAGCUGAAAAUUCACUGAUAUUCUGACAUUGCAGCUAGUGUACUUCCUGCUUUGCUAUUUCAGACACGAAAGAAAUAGAAGGCAUUUAACCUUUAGAUAGAACACCACUACAUUAAAUUCCACUUUUACUUUCAGUUUGACGCACACUUUCAACCAUUUGCGAAAGUGAUGAGACCAGCUGAUGCAUUCUGCACUCUUGUUGAUCAUCUGUUUGAAAAGUAAAAAGUUCUACGUGAGGCAUGGAAACUGAAAACACCAAAAAGAAUUCAGUGCUGACGGAUCCUAAUGUUAUUCUCACUCUUGAAUCCAAAUCCAAAUAAUUUAAAUGAUAAAAUUGCUUGUUUUAAACCUCUUUUGGAUAAUGCCAGAUUCAAAAUGUGGCCACCAAUAACACAUGCAUGCACCUCCAUUCUGAGGUGUGUCCUAAUCUGCAAUCAUUAUGAAAUAGUGUUCUGGUAUUCUCCGUAACUCAAAUCCCUUUCUAAGCCAACGCAUGCAAAUGUGUAUAGUUCGAACCUGGUGUAUUCUGAUUCCCAGCCUAGUCUGUGAUAGAUAUGUCCAUCUAGUGUUCGUCUAUGGUAUUGAAAUUCGGUGCUUUGUCACCUUCACCAUGUUUCUGAUUUGCAUGUAUACUUGUCUUUCUUAGUUGUAUGCAACAUAUAAAUCUGUCCUUUGAACUAAUUCAGUUUUGUCUCUAUUGCAGCAUAGGAAAGAACAUGAUCAUAAGUGCCAUCUUAUGUAACACUAUGCUUUUUGUCUAGAUAGGUUAAUGGCAUUGUAUUAAUGGGACUGUUAUUGUAGAUUAUGGUACUGUGUAUGGUACUAAUGGGACUGUUACAUCACA